rnacentral:rRNA from 1 species
AUUGAACGCUGGCGGCAGGCCUAACACAUGCAAGUCGAGCGGUAACAGGAAUCAGCUUGCUGAUUCGCUGACGAGCGGCGGACGGGUGAGUAAUGUCUGGGAAACUGCCUGAUGGAGGGGGAUAACUACUGGAAACGGUAGCUAAUACCGCAUAACGUCUUCGGACCAAAGUGGGGGACCUUCGGGCCUCAUGCCAUCAGAUGUGCCCAGAUGGGAGUAGCUAGGAGGUGGGGUAACGGCCCACCGAGGCGACGAUCCCUAGCUGGUCUGAGAGGAUGACCAGCCACACUGGAACUGAGACACGGUCCAGACUCCUACGGGAGGCAGCAGUGGGGAAUAUUGCACAAUGGGCGCAAGCCUGAUGCAGCCAUGCCGCGUGUAUGAAGAAGGCCUUCGGGUUGUAAAGUACUUUCAGCGGGGAGGAAGGUGUUGUGGUUAAUAACCAGAGCAAUUGACGUUACCCGCAGAAGAAGCACCGGCUAACUCCGUGCCAGCAGCCGCCGUAAAAC